rnacentral:tRNA from 1 species
GGCCUCAUGGCUCAGUUGGUUAGAGCGCCGCCCUGUCACGGCGGAGGUCGAGGGUUCGAGUCCCUCUGGGGUCG